AGUAAAAUGGCUGAGAUCAAGCAAUAAAUUGUAAAUUUAUUCGGAAUUAUUCCUUUUACUA
rnacentral:tRNA from 1 species